CCUACGGGGGCUGCAGUGGGGAAUAUUGGACAAUGGGCGAAAGCCUGAUCCAGCCAUGCCGCGUGUGUGAAGAAGGCCUUCGGGUUGUAAAGCACUUUCAGUGGGGAAGAAAGCCUUGGGGCUAAUACCCUCGAGGAAGGACAUCACCCACAGAAGAAGCACCGGCUAACUCCGUGCCAGCAGCCGCGGUAAUACGGAGGGUGCGAGCGUUAAUCGGAAUUACUGGGCGUAAAGCGCGCGUAGGCGGUCUGAUAAGCCGGUUGUGAAAGCCCCGGGCUCAACCUGGGAACGGCAUCCGGAACUGUCAGGCUAGAGUGCAGGAGAGGAAGGUAGAAUUCCCGGUGUAGCGGUGAAAUGCGUAGAGAUCGGGAGGAAUACCAGAGGCGAAGGCGGCCUUCUGGACUGACACUGACGCUGAGGUGCGAAAGCGUGGGUAGCAAACAGGAUUAGAUACCCCAGUAGUC
rnacentral:rRNA from 1 species